AUGUCGGAUCUCCCGGAUUAUCUAAUACCAAGACUAAAGAUGCAAUUCAAAGAUGUAGAGAAAGCAAGGGAAUUUUAUAACAGAUACGCCAGACACGCUGGUUUUGGAAUUAGGAAGACGGGAGGGAAUGACAAUCACAAGUAUUUUGUUUGCACGUUCCAAGGGAAACACACGACUUCUGUUUCAGAGGCUGACAGGCAACGAAACAAAACAUCGCAGAGGACAGGCUGCAAUGCAAGAAUGAGGGUGAAGGUGUAGGAGGAUAACACAUGCGUGGCAGUGGACAUUGAGUACAAUCAUAAUCACCACCUCAUGCAAACUGAUGACAUGCUGGUUUUCUUGCACUCACACAAGAAUUAUGACCCCACUAUUUUGGAGUACCUAAACCUGCAGUACCGUGAUGUCAAGCACACAACAAUCAUGUCCAUGCUAUCUGAAAAUGAAGAUGCAAGCUACUUCCUAAGCAUGACCGGACGAGACUUACUAAACCAGAAAGCCAUGAAUGCCAGGAAAGAUGAUUUGGAUGAUGUGUUGAAACUCGUUUCAUUCUUCAAGGACAUGAAGGCAAUCAAUGAUGAAUUUUUCUAUGAUAUACAAGUAGACAAGGACAAGUCAAUUAAAAUCAUUUUCUGGUCCAAGGCAAGCUGUCGAGGAGCGUAUCAAGACUUUGGCGAUUGCGUAACCUUUGACACAACUUACAAAACCAACAGAUUUCAUAUGCCUCUGGAAGUGUUUGUUGGAACAAACCGUCACUUGUAGUCAACAAUAUUUGCUGUUGCCCUUAUCAGAGACGAAGAUGCAAUGUCAUUCAAGUGGCUGUUUGAUACAUUUGUACGGUGCAUGAACAACAAGCACCCAACUUGCAUUCUAACAGACCAGUGCCCGUCGAUGGCGAAAGCUAUACCACAAUCAUUCCCAAACACCGUCCACAAGCUAUGCCGUUGGCACAUCCUGAAGAAGUACAAGGAAUACCUCGAGUCGCUGUACAAAAAGUACAAAACAUUCAAAGAGGAGUUCACAGCUAUAUUAAACUGGCCGCUGAUGCCAACGGAGUUUGAAAUUGCCUAGGCUGAACUCAUGCACAUGUACAACCUGGAGAACGACCAGAUGAUGAUGUAG
rnacentral:rRNA from 1 species